UAGGCAGCAACUCGCCUACACGAAGCUGGAAUCGCUAGUAAUCGCGGAUCAGCACGCCGCGGUGAAUACGUUCCCGGGCCUUGUACACACCGCCCGUCACACCAUGAGAGUCUGUAACACCCAAAGCCGGUGGGAUAACCUUUAUAGGAGUCAGCCGUCUAAGGUAGGACAGAUGAUUAGGGUGAAGUCGUAACAAGGUAGC
rnacentral:rRNA from 1 species